CCUACGGGUGGCAGCAGUCGAGAAUCAUUCACAAUGGGGGCAACCCUGAUGGAGCGACGCCGCGUGGGGGAAUGAAGGUCUUCGGAUUUUAAACCCCUGUCAUGUGGGAGCAAAUUAAAAAGUAAGUACCACAAAAGGAAGAGACGGCUAACUCCGUGCCAGCAGCCGCGGUAAUACAGAGGUCUCAAGCGUUGGUCGGAAUCACUGGGCGUAAAGCGUGCGUAGGAUGUUUCGUAAGUCGGGUGUGAAAGGCGCGGGCUCAACCCGCGGACGGAACAUGAUACUGCGAGACUAGAGUAAUGGAGGGGGAACCGGAAUUCUCGGUGUAGCAGUGAAAUGCGUAGAUAUCGGGAGGAACACUCGUGGCGAAGGCGGGUUCCUGGACAUUAACUGACGCUGAGGCACGAAGGCCAGGGGAGCGAAAGGGAUUAGAUACCCGUGUAGUC
rnacentral:rRNA from 1 species